rnacentral:rRNA from 1 species
AUUGAACGCUGGCGGCAGGCCUAACACAUGCAAGUCGAACGAGUGGCGGACGGGUGAGUAAUGUCUGGGAAACUGCCCGAUGGAGAGGGAUAACUACUGGAAACGGUAGCUAAUACCGCAUACCAUCGGAUGUGCCAAGAUGGGAUUAGCUUGUAGGUGAGGUAACGGCUCACCUAGGCGACGAUCCCUAGCUGGUCUGAGAGGAUGACCAGCCACACGGGCACUGUGCCACGGUGCGGACUCCUACGGGAGGCAGCAGUGGUGAUUAUUGCACAAUGGGCGCAAGCCUGAUGCUGCCAGGACGCGUGUAUGAGGAAGGCCUUCGUGUUGUAAAGUACUUUCAGCGGGGAGGCGUUACCCGAAUAAGAAGCAACGGCUAACUCCGUGCCAGCAGCCGCGGUAAUAC